GCAAUUUAUUCAAAGCUAAUAUUUUUUCACUCCAUACAUUUAUAUACUAUAUAGAUGAUGAAAAAUAAAUCAUUAAUAUAAAUUUUAAUAACAAAUUAAUACUUCAUAUAUUUCAUUAACAAUAAAAGAGUUUGAAGAAGCAAAGUCUUAUACACUGAAGCUGCCUCUACACGCAGAGAGUUCGUUCAACAUGUAUCUCCACUCAGUUAUAUCAUUUACUCCCCUCAUUCUCUCAGCAGUACCAAUAAUUUUACCAGGCAAACCUCCACAUUCUUUUACAAUUUGCUUUGCAAUCUGCUCAACACUUGGAGUAAAGAAGUUUGCAAGCCCAAUAUUUUUCUUAAAUAAGAUCUCUGCUUCUCUGAAAGGAAGUGGCUCAAUUUCAAUAGGUUGCUGGCAGCCCAUCCUUUGACACAACCUUAAGGAUCGAGUGCUGAUGAUUAGCUUGCAUCUACCCACUUGAAUAGGAAUUCCAAUCUCUUCUUGAUCAAAGUAACUUGAAAGACCAUCUAAGAUGAGCACACAUUUAUUUCUUCUUACAAGUCCUUUAUGUAACUUUGCUGCCCUCUUCCUUGUACCUUCCUCAUCAAAGAGAUCAAGCCCUACUUCGCUGGCAAUAUCACUCUGCAACUUGUGAAUGCUGAAAUCACCAGAUAAAGCGACCAGGUAAACAUGAUCAAAAGUUUCAUCUUGAAGGAGUUGAUUAUAUAUAUGCACCAUAAUCUCUGUUUUUCCAACUCCCUCUACUCCAGAAACACCAAUUCUUAGCACUUGUUCAUUCAUCAAGCAUGCCCAGAUUCUUCCUAAGACUUCAUUUGAAUUUUGACCCACCAAUUUUGUUGUCAAUAAUUCCACUCCACUAGUUUCAUUUACAUCAAGCAGAAGACUAUCAAAUUUUCCCUGCUCACAAAGCUCUUCUACUUCACGAAUUUCCUUCUGAAGACGCGUUUUCCACCAUGGUGCUAAUGAAUAUUUUCGAUCUCCGAUUUGUUGUUCCAUGACUUGCACAUCAUUUUUCUUUCUUUGAACACUUCCUAACCAAUUUUCAACUUCCCUCUUUCGCUUCUUUCCAGAAUGAAACUCGGCAACUUCGAGUGUUUUGUUAAUAUCGUCCUCUAAAGAACACAAAGUUUUCAAAUUUCUCUUGAGAGUUUGCCUACCUUCAACGAUAGCGUUGUGAUAGGUAACAAAUGGCCAUAAGUUGUUAAAGACCUCCACUUUGCCCAAUAUGUUCUCCAAAAACUCCAUUCUCUAUUGCACUACAUGAUGCCUGCCAGAUUAUGAGUGGAGAAACCAAGAACAAUGAAACUCCUCAAAAAGAAAUCCAAGAAAGAACGGGACGAAGACUUGGCCGAAGCAUAUGCAAAAGUCAACGUAAUGUAGUCCCAGUCCUGAGUCUCCUGACACUUUCCCG
rnacentral:misc_RNA from 1 species